rnacentral:lncRNA from 1 species
GAGAUAAGGAGAGAGAUCACAAGAAUCAGUGCUUUUCCUGGGAACAAGUUUUUUAAAAUUCGCUUUAACAUUGGGAAGCAAAUAUUGACUUUGUAACCACUUAUUAGACAGAGUGUGGGCUGCAUCUCUGCUUUUCCUGCCAAGUUCAGAAGCUUCCCCAGUUGAGCGACACAGAACUUGGUCUUUCUUGCUUCCCAAUCCAUCGUCCUGCUCUCUUUGGUCAGAUCCUGCCAUGCCAUCGAAAUGGAAGAUACCGGGGCUUCUGCUUUGGCUCUGUGUUUCAGCUGCAGCUGCAGACGAAAAAAUAGUUCUCAGUUCGAAUCUGAAUUGCCGUGGAAAGCAAGUAACAAAUGGCACCAUAGUGAACUUUCACUUUCUGGUGAUCAGGGGUGACUUACAACAUUUCAACGCAAAGGUAAAAAGUCCUAGUUCAAAACAGCUCUAUUUCGUAGAACGUGUACGCCAAGGNAGUUUCAGCUUUGUUUCUGAGGAAGAUGGAUAUUAUAUGUUUUGCUUUCAUAAUGAACUACCAAGGCUUCCAAAGACAGUGGCCUAUACAAUUGACAUUGGCCCCCCACAAUAUGCAGAAGGGGUCAACUCAUAUUUUUUGUACAACGACAAACAGAGAGAAGGAGCAAUUCAGGAUGCGAUAGCUGUUUUGAGCCAUUUGGGGUCUUCUAUCAACCAGACAAUGAACAACCUUCAGAUUCGCAUCUCCGUAUUAGAGGAAAAAUUGAGUAUUGUGUAAGUGUCCAAUGGAAGAUCUUAUCCUGCAACGCCAGAAGCAGGCACCAGUUCAUAUCAAUUAUUUUAAAGCUCUUGUACUAAAGUCUGCAGCUGCCCUACUGAUAUCUAACACUACACUUUAACAUCCCCAUUCAUGGAG